CCUCGGAUCAGGUAGGAAUACCCGCUGAACUUAAGCAUAUCAAUAAGCGGAGGA
rnacentral:rRNA from 8 species